rnacentral:pre_miRNA from 1 species
UUUCUACUCCCUCCGUCCGAAAAUACUUGUCAUCAAAAUGGAUAAAAAGAGAUGUAUCUAAAACUAAAAUACGUCUAGAUACAUUUCCUUUUAUCCAUUUUGAUGACAAGUAUUUCCGGACGGAGGGACUAUUUG